rnacentral:rRNA from 1 species
CGAACGAUGAAGCCCAGCUUGCUGGGUGGAUUAGUGGCGAACGGGUGAGUAACACGUGAGCAACCUGCCCCUGACUCUGGGAUAAGCGCUGGAAACGGCGUCUAAUACUGGAUAUGUCCCGUCACCGCAUGGUGUGCGGGUGGAAAGAUUUUUCGGUUGGGGAUGGGCUCGCGGCCUAUCAGCUUGUUGGUGAGGUAAUGGCUCACCAAGGCGUCGACGGGUAGCCGGCCUGAGAGGGUGACCGGCCACACUGGGACUGAGACACGGCCCAGACUCCUACGGGAGGCAGCAGUGGGGAAUAUUGCACAAUGGGCGAAAGCCUGAUGCAGCAACGCCGCGUGAGGGAUGACGGCCUUCGGGUUGUAAACCUCUUUUAGCAGGGAAGAAGCGAAAGUGACGGUACCUGCAGAAAAAGCACCGGCUAACUACGUGCCAGCAGCCGCGGUAAUACGUAGGGUGCAAGCGUUAUCCGGAAUUAUUGGGCGUAAAGAGCUCGUAGGCGGUCUGUCGCGUCUGCUGUGAAAUCCCGAGGCUCAACCUCGGGCUUGCAGUGGGUACGGGCAGACUAGAGUGCGGUAGGGGAGAUUGGAAUUCCUGGUGUAGCGGUGGAAUGCGCAGAUAUCAGGAGGAACACCGAUGGCGAAGGCAGAUCUCUGGGCCGUAACUGACGCUGAGGAGCGAAAGGGUGGGGAGCAAACAGGCUUAGAUACCCUGGUAGUCCACCCCGUAAACGUUGGGAACUAGUUGUGGGGUCCUUUCCACGGAUUCCGUGACGCAGCUAACGCAUUAAGUUCCCCGCCUGGGGAGUACGGCCGCAAGGCUAAAACUCAAAGGAAUUGACGGGGACCCGCACAAGCGGCGGAGCAUGCGGAUUAAUUCGAUGCAACGCGAAGAACCUUACCAAGGCUUGACAUACACGAGAACGGGCCAGAAAUGGUCAACUCUUUGGACACUCGUGAACAGGUGGUGCAUGGUUGUCGUCAGCUCGUGUCGUGAGAUGUUGGGUUAAGUCCCGCAACGAGCGCAACCCUCGUUCUAUGUUGCCAGCACGUAAUGGUGGGAACUCAUGGGAUACUGCCGGGGUCAACUCGGAGGAAGGUGGGGAUGACGUCAAAUCAUCAUGCCCCUUAUGUCUUGGGCUUCACGCAUGCUACAAUGGCCGGUACAAUGGGCUGCGAUACCGUAAGGUGGAGCGAAUCCCAAAAAGCCGGUCCCAGUUCGGAUUGAGGUCUGCAACUCGACCUCAUGAAGUCGGAGUCGCUAGUAAUCGCAGAUCAGCACCGCUGCGGAGAAUACGUUCCCGGGUCUUGUACACAC